GUCAGUGAAAGAAUGUGUUCCCAGAGAGAUGGGAAGAAAAGUGUGGUUGGAAGGACACCAAAGGUUCUGGCUCUCCGUGGAGGGUGAUUCCAGAGGCACCACAGAGCCCUAGGAGGAGCCUCAGACCUUGGGAGGGAGAGGAGGAGUUGAGAAUGACCAUGUUAGUGACAGCCUGAAACGAAUACCCUUCUCUUGAGGUACCUUAGCCUCUGGGCUAAGUCUACCCAGUCUCUCUCUUUCAAAGGGAGAUUCAACGUCUACCCCUUGUUUGCCAUGUAAAUGAAGCUCAAUAAAUAUGUGCUGAAUUACAAAUGAAGAUUAAGUAUAGUAAUAAAUGAAGAAAUUCUAAAGGAAAUCAACCCUCAAUAUGCAUUGGAAGGACUGAUGCUGAAGUUGAAGCUCCAAUACUUUGGCCACCUGAUGUGAAGAGCUGACUCACUGGAAAAGAUC